GAUGAACGCUGGCGGCGUGCCUAAUACAUGCGAGUCGAGCGAACAGACGAGGAGCUUGCUCCUCUGACGUUAGCGGCGGACGGGUGAGUAACACGUGGAUAACCUACCUAUAAGACUGGGAUAACUUCGGGAAACCGGAGCUAAUACCGGAUAAUAUAUUGAACCGCAUGGUUCAAUAGUGAAAGACGGUUUUGCUGUCACUUAUAGAUGGAUCCGCGCCGCAUUAGCUAGUUGGUAAGGUAACGGCUUACCAAGGCGACGAUGCGUAGCCGACCUGAGAGGGUGAUCGGCCACACUGGAACUGAGCCACGGUCCAGACUCCUACGGGAGGCAGCAGUAGGGAAUCUUCCGCAAUGGGCGAAAGCCUGACGGAGCAACGCCGCGUGAGUGAUGAAGGUCUUCGGAUCGUAAAACUCUGUUAUUAGGGAAGAACAAAUGUGUAAGUAACUAUGCACGUCUUGACGGUACCUAAUCAGAAAGCCACGGCUAACUACGUG
rnacentral:rRNA from 1 species